UACGAAGGGGGCGAGCGUUGUUCGGAUUUACUGGGCGUAAAGGGCGCGCAGGCGGCGGAUCAAGUCAGACGUGAAAGCCCCGGGCUUAACCUGGGAACUGCGUUUGGGACUGAUUUGCUAGAGAUCGGGAGAGGAGAGUGGAAUUCCCAGUGUAGAGGUGAAAUUCGUAGAUAUUGGGAAGAACACCGGUGGCGAAGGCGGCUCUCUGGACCGAUAUUGACGCUGAUGCGCGAAAGCCAGGGGAGCAAACGGG
rnacentral:rRNA from 1 species